rnacentral:rRNA from 1 species
AGCGAACGCUGGCGGCAGGCCUAACACAUGCAAGUCGAACGGAUCCUUCGGGAUUAGUGGCGGACGGGUGAGUAACACGUGGGAACGUGCCCUUUGGUUCGGAACAACUCAGGGAAACUUGAGCUAAUACCGGAUGUGCCCUUCGGGGGAAAGAUUUAUCGCCAUUGGAGCGGCCCGCGUCUGAUUAGCUAGUUGGUGAGGUAAAGGCUCACCAAGGCGACGAUCAGUAGCUGGUCUGAGAGGAUGAUCAGCCACAUUGGGACUGAGACACGGCCCAAACUCCCCCGGGAGGCAGCAGUGGGGAAUCUUGCGCAAUGGGCGAAAGCCUGACGCAGCCAUGCCGCGUGAAUGAUGAAGGUCUUAGGAUUGUAAAAUUCUUUCACCGGGGACGAUAAUGACGGUACCCGGAGAAGAAGCCCCGGCUAACUUCGUGCCAGCAGCCGCCGUAAGAC